rnacentral:rRNA from 1 species
UACGUAGGGUGCAAGCGUUAAUCGGAAUUACUGGGCGUAAAGCGUGCGCAGGCGGUUGUGUAAGACAGAUGUGAAAUCCCCGGGCUCAACCUGGGAACUGCAUUUGUGACUGCACAGCUGGAGUGCGGCAGAGGGGGGGAUGGAAUUCCGCGUGUAGCAGUGAAAUGCGUAGAUAUGCGGAGGAACACCGAUGGCGAAGGCAAUCCCCUGGGCCUGCACUGACGCUCAUGCACGAAAGCGUGGGGAGCGAAACA